UACACAUGCCUACUCACGCUCUGCCAGCAUCGCCAUCGCGACGUCCGACUGAAUAAUCACACCGACUAUAACGGCUUUGCCGGAUAUGCACAACUUUGUACUGAACGAGUCGUUUACGCUCCCAAAGGCCCCAGAAUCCAAACCAACGUGAGACCGAUUGCAUAGGCUCUACACUGUGCCCUGAAUCUCACGGACAACAGUUGGAUAAAUGCUGCGACUCACGCUUCAAGAACAAAACUUAAGCAUGGUGUUGGAGGAUGUCUGAUAUCUAUAAAACCAAAUUGAAGAUGAUAAAUAACUUCAUGUGGCAAGACAGGAAGAAUGCACAGAAAAAUGAAGUAAAAUAUAAAGCUGGGUUGGAAAACUAGUACCUAUUGUGCAUAUUAUGUUGCAACUUUUAAUAAGUUAGCAAGAUGCAUGCUGUUUUCUUUCGACUCAAGUCAAAGAUUAGAAUUUAAAGUUAAACAAAAAAAGUGUCUAAUUUUAUAUAGGCUUCCUUAUUUUAAGUAUUCAAAUUAAAAAAAAACAUACCUGUGAUAAGAACACGGGGAUGAUCCGACUCUGCAAAAGACACAGAGUGAAAACUUGCAUCGGCAUUUACUUGCCUUGGAGAGCAGCUCAUUCGUCUUAUUGACACAGGAGGAGUCUGGCAACUACAACCAUUGCUCAGUAGCACUUGUUUAGCAGUCUUUGCCAAAUUCCUGAAAACUGGCAUUCUUCACGUCUGAGAAUAAAGGAUGCAAGUUCAAGUAGGCAGUUAAAGUAAACUCUAAAACAUGCUCAGUAAUUUUAAAUGAGUCUUUAUUGACGUGAUUAAAACACAGUCUAUAACAUAAAUUACCAUCCAGCCCAACUAACACAUACCAUUUCACACUAAAGCCUCACUCCAUUCCUCUUUUUCUAUUUGUCAGUAUAUCCUUACAAAAAAAAAAUUUACCUUACUCAUCUAUCUUCCUCUAAAAUUCAGGAGUGCAUAUAUCUUAAUAACUAAGUUAUAUUCACAUAUCCCUCAUUCUCAGCACUCCUUGGUUAAGAAUUUCCCAUUGAAUACAGUAUACCUAAUGUUUAUCAUUUCUAAACUUGGACAUUAAUUUCAAAACAAAAUUAUGCCCUGAACUUUGCUGUUCCAUUUGAGUUCAAAGCACUUAUUUGUUGUUACCGUUUGUUGUUCCUUCUCAUUUCUUCAUGCCUUUGUAAAAACAAAGAUCUUAGUUUAUGUGUCUAUAAUCCAGCACCUGACUCAACUACAACACCUACCUCAUAUUGAAAUCUUGAUAUAGUAAAUUCACAGUGAAAAGGAAACACACACAGUCAGCUGGAUUGAGAAAAACCACAAUGGGUAAAACAUUGGUAGAUUUAUGCCCACUGAGGAAAGUUACUCUUUACUGUCCAAAAAAAACUGUUAGGAAUAUUGGCUGUAUGCUACGUAUAUCCAAACAAUUAAAAAAGCGUACACACAGAGAUCAAUGCCUUUAAAACCAUGAUCGCAAAAAAAGUAUCUUUAUCUACUGUUUGACACAGACUGCAUCACUGCAAGAUGCCCUCCUUGUGUAACACUAAAUUGUUUCCUAUCAGUGCUUUCAGCAAAUGUUCUCCAGACAAAUGUUAUUUGCUUAUGCAUGCUGAUGUCUGUGAAGAACAAAGUGCUCGGAGACACACACUGUAACCAACAUAAGCUGAACAAACAAAGCAAGUUACGUACAAAACCUAAUCAAAAGUUCCAAUCUCUAAAUAACAUUUGGUAUAACGUAAAUGCACAAAACAUUCUGUUGAUCCUCCCCAAAUUAUUUCCAAUUUGUUCCAGGCACUUGAUCAACAAUAUACACAAAACAAAUCCAACUGGAAGCUAGUCAACACUUUUGCUGACAUCAGGUAUUGAUCUGGUUCACAAAUCAGAAUUCAAGCAAAUAAUCCACACAGUCAUAUCCUGGCAAUCACAAAUCAACUUCAAGAAGAUAGCUGUUUGGCCUUCCCCCAAAUAUGAUCAAGCCACAAAAAUAAAAUCAUUAACACCUAGAAGACAUUUUGUUCAAGACUAGCAAUUCACCACAAAUUCAAUGCUCACGUGUUCCCCACUACCCAUUAUACAACAUCAGGACCAAUCGCUAUCAUUGUACAAUAGAUUUGGUGACUAAAGAGUUGGCAUGCCAAAGGCACUAUUAGAAAGCAGGGAUUUGUGAAUUUUUAACUUCACCAUGCUAAUUGCUGUACAAAAUAUUGCCUUAAGUGGUCUGAAACAGUGGCAUUCUUUUCAUUGCUCUCUAACAGAAGGUCUGUCAGCUGCCAAAAACUGAAAUUCAACUGGAUAAAUAUAGUAUAGGAACCACAGAUAACUGAAAGAAAUCUUUUAGCCUAUGUAGCUGGAACUCAACAAUGUGGAUGAAGUUUACUUCUGAGGAGCCAACUCAUUCAUGCCAACCAGAUAUUCUAUCUAAAUCUAGUCCCACUUGCCAGCAUUUGGCCUAUAUCCCUCUAAACCCUUCCUAUUCAUAUAUCCAUCCAGAUGUCUUUUAAAUGUUGUAGUCAUACCAGCCUCCACCCCUUCCUCUAGCAGCUAGUGCCAUACAUACACCACCCUCUGCAUGAAAAAGUUGCUCCUUUGGUCCCUUUUAAAUCUUUCCUGUCUCACCUUAAACAUAUGCCUUCUCGUUUUGGACUCCCCCACCCCAGGGAAAGACCUUGCCUUUUACCCUAUACUCGCUCCUCACGAUUUGAUAAACCUUUAUAAAAAGUCACCCCUCAGCCUCCAAUGCUGCAGAAUUUGAGUUGGAAGUUACUUGUGCAUACCCACUGACAGUGUUGUGAGCAGUGCCAUUGGCAGCACAUUAAAAAUAAAAUAAAAAAAAGAAAGAAAUGGGUAAAUCUAUGCUAUGGAUUUCAAUGUAGGGAAAUGGGAGGUCAUCUGGUCUGGACUGAAAUAGAGAAUGGAAGGGUACUUGCAAAAUGGUUUAAAUUUAGAAAUAGUGAAGGUUCAAAAGAAAACUUGGAAAUUCACAUACACAGGUCAAAAAGGACAGAUGACCAAAAGCUUGGUUAAAUACAAAGCAUUUUAAAGGAGUUCCUUAAGGAAGAAGCCAGGUAGAGAGAUGAUUAGGGAGGGAAAUUCCAGAAACCAGACAACUGACAUCAUAAAUUCUGGUGAUUAAGCAAUUAAAAUUUACAGCAGCACGGUGGUGCAGUGGUUAGCACUGCAGCCUCUCAGCGCCAGGGACCCAAAUUC